AAAAAACCCCCCCCCACAUAACUCGUCCCUCUCUCACCCCCUUUCUCACCACCGUCUGCUGCUCGCCGGAAAUCGCCCACGGCGGCGGCACUGCUCCAAACCCGCCCAAAAUUACACCCUAUACUCCCCAUAUUCUCCUAAACGUCAUCCUACCAUUAAUUUCCCCAAAAUCCCCACCCAUAUUCACCAAUUUCAAAUCUCAGAAACCCUAAAACCCAAAUUUUUCGCUUUUUUGAUUUUUGUGAGCAAAUUCGCCCGUUUUGACUAAAGACUUACAUUGGUCAAUUGUUCUUAACAAGAACAAUUGGUUAAUAUUGGUUUUAGGUCAUUUCGAAACUCGCCCGAUUCCGGCCAAGUCAACACUGACCGGCCAAGCUUCGUCGCCUUCAUCAUUCGUCAAUUCGCUUCGUUCGUCGACUCAUUUCUCAGCAAAAAUCAGUAUAUCGCUUCUUUUAUUCCCUCCGUUUUUAUUUUUAGUGUUGCAUUAUUAAUUAGGUGUUAAUUUUGAAUAAGCUUGGUUAUUUAUUUGAUUAAGUUCAUUAAAAUUAGGAUUAUGUGGGUUAAUUGCAUGAUUUUAGGAUUAAUAUCUUUUUGUUUAUCAUUUUUGUUUGGUUUUCUAUUCUGGACGGAUUUCAUAUUAGUAGGUUUAUUUGUUUUUCUUUUUGCCUUAAUUGAAACUUGAGGGGGGAGGGGUCUAAAGGAACAUUGGAAACUUAGGGCAUUGAAAAUCAGGAAUUAGGUCAAAAUUGGUGUGGCUAUUUGUAUUAAGCAGAACUUAAAGGGGUCAUUUGAGAAGUAAAAAUGGGGGAAUUUCAGAUAAAAAUAUCAGAAGCUUCUAGUAUUGGACAGUUGCCAUUUUUAGUUUUUUUUUUUUAAAAAAAAAUAUGCUGAAAUUGGAUAAAACAGACUGCUGCACGAAAAUCUAUUAAAAAAAGACGCUUUUUAUCCUUUUCUACAACUGACACUCCUUAAUUUUAGGCUAGAAUAUUCCCGUCAUAGACACUCACUCCUACACUCUAUAUAAAGGACACACACUCCCUCAUUUCACACACAUUAUCAUCAGCAUACUCACUCUAAAAGGCAUCUCUGAAUACAGAUCCUUACAAAAGGAAUUUUGGGCAAAUAUUUCUCCAUCUCACACUAAUUUCUUUCCUUUUCUUGAGUCUCAAAGUGUAUUUAAAAACAAAAAAUAGUUCUCUGUUCUUGCUGGUUUACUAUUUCUGCUAUUAAGAGGUUGAUUUAGCUCAAUCUCCUCUUGUUUUGUUGUUGCUCCGUUGCUACUGCUAUUCUUCUUGCUGCUGCUUCUUCCUAGUUUUUUCAGAGACUUAUUUUCUUCUUCUCUUUCUUUGCUGCUGUUAAGGUGUGUGCUGAUAGCCUCAAAUAAUGUAGUUGUUAUUUGAAUAUCAUAUUGCUCUGAAAUUUCAGUUGUUUGCUCAUUUCAUGUAUACUGAAUGCUUUUUUUUUUCAUGUUUGAAUGCAAGUUUGAGUUUGGUUUAAAGUAUCUGAUGUGAUGAAUAUCUUAAACCUUAAUGAAAUUUGAGUAAUAAUAAGAAACAAGCAUGAAACCAGUUCAAUUUUCUUAACCUUUGAUUGUCAAGGUUUGAGCCACUAUUGAUGGAUUUCUUACGCAUGAAGUUCUGAAAUUCCCUGAAGGUCUGUGGUUUAAGAAGUAACACGCCAAAAGGAUUAGUGACGAGUUUAGAAAUCUGACCAGUGCUUGGCCUGAUUUUUAAAAGUUUCAUCACUUGAAAAUAGUCAUUUGUAUAAUGGCUUAAUUCUAGUUUGGUAUAGUUUUCUAGUACAAAAAUGUAAUAAUUUGUUUCAUUACUAGUGAAAUACAGUUGCGUACAUUCAAGUAGCUUGAUAGCUAUUGUUCAGGAGUAUGAAUUUCAAUCUAUGAAUGUUGUCAUUUAGCAAUAUGAUAUAAGUUUAUUGAAUCCUUCGAAAUGCCUUGGUUGUGGUGGUUAAGCAGGAAAAUAAUUCUCCCUGCCUUUGUGUAGUUUAGUCGCGUGUUGAACUUUGUGGAAGGAUUACUUUGUUUUCCACAGUUACUGAUUUAUGAGUUUGGACCUCGACCUUAGUCAAAUAGAGGUCUAUUCCAGUCUAUCAAUGAAUACAACCCAAUAACGUUAGUACCCAUAACUGACCGGCUCACCCACUAUGGCAUGGGAUAAUAAUAGAAUGAGCUAUCCUAUUUUUGACAUUAAACUUAUAGAAAUCUGUAUUGAUAUGUUUUUUAAUGGUCUCAUGUUUUGAUUCAUCUCCUUGUAAUUCAAGUACAUGGGUGUCACGCAAAUUUCCAAAUAGCCAACGAAUGAAAAUCAUCUCAAAGUUUUGGUUUCGAAUCCCUGGUAAUCAAAAGCUUAGGUCG
rnacentral:lncRNA from 1 species